rnacentral:misc_RNA from 1 species
GAUGAAGAACGCAGUGAAAUGCGAUAAGUAAUGUGAAUUGCAGAAUUCAGUGAAUCAUCGAAUCUUUGAACGCACAUUGCGCCUCCUGGUAUUCCGGGAGGCAUGCCUGUUCGAGCGUCAUCAAAAACCUCAACCCAUGAUUUAUUGUGAGUUGGUUCUGCAUUGGACUCCUUGUGGGUCCUUUGCGAAAUCCAAUGGCGAAGAGCCACGCAACCAAAGCGUAGUAUAACUAUUUCGUUAUGGAAGCGUGGGUGCCUCUGCCGUAACCCCCAAUUUCUUAGUUUUUGACCUCGGAUCAGGUAGGGAUACCCGCUGAACUUAAGCAUAUCAAUAAGCGGAGGA